rnacentral:rRNA from 1 species
CCAGUACCGUGAGGGAAAGGUGAAAAGCACCCCGGAAGGGGAGUGAAAUAGAACCUGAAACCGUGUGCUUACAAGUAGUCAGAGCCCGUUAAUGGGUGAUGGCGUGCCUUUUGUAGAAUGAACCGGCGAGUUACGAUUUGAUGCAAGGUUAAGCAGUAAAUGUGGAGCCGUAGCGAAAGCGAGUCUGAAUAGGGCGUUUAGUAUUUGGUCGUAGACCCGAAACCAGGUGAUCUACCCUUGGUCAGGUUGAAGUUCAGGUAACACUGAAUGGAGGACCGAACCGACUUACGUUGAAAAGUGAGCGGAUGAACUGAGGGUAGCGGAGAAAUUCCAAUCGAACCUGGAGAUAGCUGGUUCUCUCCGAAAUAGCUUUAGGGCUAGCCUCAAGUGAUGAUUAUUGGAGGUAGAGCACUGUUUGGACGAGGGGCCCCUCUCGGGUUACCGAAUUCAGACAAACUCCGAAUGCCAAUUAAUUUAACUUGGGAGUCAGAACAUGGGUGAUAAGGUCCGUGUUCGAAAGGGAAACAGCCCAGACCACCAGCUAAGGUCCCAAAAUAUAUGUUAAGUGGAAAAGGAUGUGGCGUUGCCCAGACAACUAGGAUGUUGGCUUAGAAGCAGCCAUCAUUUAAAGAGUGCGUAAUAGCUCACUAGUCGAGUGACACUGCGCCGAAAAUGUACCGGGGCUAAACAUAUUACCGAAGCUGUGGAUUGUCCUUUGGACAAUGGUAGGAGAGCGUUCUAAGGGCGUUGAAGCAUGAUCGUAAGGACAUGUGGAGCGCUUAGAAGUGAGAAUGCCGGUGUGAGUAGCGAAAGACGGGUGAGAAUCCCGUCCACCGAUUGACUAAGGUUUCCAGAGGAAGGCUCGUCCGCUCUGGGUUAGUCGGGUCCUAAGCUGAGGCCGACAGGCGUAGGCGAUGGAUAACAGGUUGAUAUUCCUGUACCACCUAUAAUCGUUUUAAUCGAUGGGGGGACGCAGUAGGAUAGGCGAAGCGUGCGAUUGGAUUGCACGUCUAAGCAGUAAGGCUGAGUAUUAGGCAAAUCCGGUACUCGUUAAGGCUGAGCUGUGAUGGGGAGAAGACAUUGUGUCUUCGAGUCGUUGAUUUCACACUGCCGAGAAAAGCCUCUAGAUAGAAAAUAGGUGCCCGUACCGCAAACCGACACAGGUAGUCAAGAUGAGAAUUCUAAGGUGAGCGAGCGAACUCUCGUUAAGGAACUCGGCAAAAUGACCCCGUAACUUCGGGAGAAGGGGUGCUCUUUAGGGUUAACGCCCAGAAGAGCCGCAGUGAAUAGGCCCAAGCGACUGUUUAUCAAAAACACAGGUCUCUGCUAAACCGUAAGGUGAUGUAUAGGGGCUGACGCCUGCCCGGUGCUGGAAGGUUAAGAGGAGUGGUUAGCUUCUGCGAAGCUACGAAUCGAAGCCCCAGUAAACGGCGGCCGUAACUAUAACGGUCCUAAGGUAGCGAAAUUCCUUGUCGGGUAAGUUCCGACCCGCACGAAAGGCGUAACGAUUUGGGCACUGUCUCAACGAGAGACUCGGUGAAAUCAUAGUACCUGUGAAGAUGCAGGUUACCCGCGACAGGACGGAAAGACCCCGUGGAGCUUUACUGUAGCCUGAUAUUGAAAUUCGGCACAGCUUGUACAGGAUAGGUAGGAGCCUUUGAAACGUGAGCGCUAGCUUACGUGGAGGCGCUGGUGGGAUACUACCCUAGCUGUGUUGGCUUUCUAACCCGCACCACUUAUCGUGGUGGGAGACAGUGUCAGGCGGGCAGUUUGACUGGGGCGGUCGCCUCCUAAAAGGUAACGGAGGCGCUCAAAGGUUCCCUCAGAAUGGUUGGAAAUCAUUCAUAGAGUGUAAAGGCAUAAGGGAGCUUGACUGCGAGACCUACAAGUCGAGCAGGGUCGAAAGACGGACUUAGUGAUCCGGUGGUUCCGCAUGGAAGGGCCAUCGCUCAACGGAUAAAAGCUACCCCGGGGAUAACAGGCUUAUCUCCCCCAAGAGUUCACAUCGACGGGGAGGUUUGGCACCUCGAUGUCGGCUCAUCGCAUCCUGGGGCUGUAGUCGGUCCCAAGGGUUGGGCUGUUCGCCCAUUAAAGCGGUACGCGAGCUGGGUUCAGAACGUCGUGAGACAGUUCGGUCCCUAUCCGUCGUGGGCGUAGGAAAUUUGAGAGGAGCUGUCCUUAGUACGAGAGGACCGGGAUGGACAUACCUCUGGUGUACCAGUUGUCGUGCCAACGGCAUAGCUGGGUAGCUAUGUGUGGACGGGAUAAGUGCUGAAAGCAUCUAAGCAUGAAGCCCCCCUCAAGAUGAGAUUUCCCAACUUCGGUUAUAAGAUCCCUCAAAGAUGAUGAGGUUAAUAGGUUCGAGGUGGAAGCAUGGUGACAUGUGGAGCUGACGAAUACUAAUCGAUCGAAGACUUAAUCAA